rnacentral:rRNA from 1 species
CCUACGGGAGGCAGCAGUGGGGAAUCUUGCGCAAUGGGCGAAAGCCUGACGCAGCAACGCCGCGUGCGGGAUGAAGGCCUUCGGGUUGUAAACCGCUUUCAGCAGGGAAGAAAUUGACGGUACCUGCAGAAGAAGCCCCGGCCAACUACGUGCCAGCAGCCGCGGUAACACGUAGGGGGCGAGCGUUGUCCGGAUUUAUUGGGCGUAAAGAGCUCGUAGGCGGUUCGGUAAGUCGGGUGUGAAACCUCCAGGCUCAACCUGGAGACGCCACCUGAUACUGUUGUGACUAGAGUCCGGUAGGGGAGUGUGGAACUCCUGGUGUAGCGGUGAAAUGCGCAGAUAUCAGGAAGAACACCAGCGGCGAAGGCGGCACUCUGGGCCGGUACUGACGCUGAGGAGCGAAAGCGUGGGUAGCAAACAGGAUUAGAUACCCUGGUAGUCCACGCCGUAAACGUUGGGCACUAGGUGUGGGUCUCAACCAACGAGAUCCGUGCCGCAGCUAACGCAUUAAGUGCCCCGCCUGGGGAGUACGGCCGCAAGGCUAAAACUCAAAGGAAUUGACGG